rnacentral:rRNA from 1 species
UACAGAGGUCUCAAGCGUUGUUCGGAUUCAUUGGGCGUAAAGGGUGUGUAGGUGGCGCGCUAAGUCGGGUGUGAAAUUUCGGAGCUUAACUCCGAAACUGCAUUCGAUACUGGCGUGCUUGAGGACUGGAGAGGAGACUGGAAUUCAUGGUGUAGCAGUGAAAUGCGUAGAGAUCAUGAGGAAGACCAGUGGCGAAGGCAGCACUCUGGGACGGUACUGACGCUGAGACGCGAAAGCGUGGGGAGCAAACAGG